rnacentral:rRNA from 1 species
AGUGAACGCUGGCGGUAGGCCUAACACAUGCAAGUCGAACGGCAGCACAGUAAGAGCUUGCUCUUACGGGUGGCGAGUGGCGGACGGGUGAGGAAUACAUCGGAAUCUACUUUUUCGUGGGGGAUAACGUAGGGAAACUUACGCUAAUACCGCAUACGACCUACGGGUGAAAGCAGGGGAUCUUCGGACCUUGCGCGAUUGAAUGAGCCGAUGUCGGGUUAGCUAGUUGGCGGGGUAAAGGCCCACCAAGGCGACGAUCCGUAGCUGGUCUGAGAGGAUGAUCAGCCACACUGGAACUGAGACACGGUCCAGACUCCUACGGGAGGCAGCAGUGGGGAAUAUUGGACAAUGGGCGGAAGCCUGAUCCAGCCAUACCGCGUGGGUGAAGAAGGCCUUCGGGUUGUAAAGCCCUUUUGUUGGGAAAGAAAAGCAGCAGGUUAAUACCCCGCUGUUCUGACGGUACCCAAAGAAUAAGCACCGGCUAACUUCGUG